AAGUAAGCAAAAUGUUUUCAUCUUUCAACAGCAUGACCCAUCUGCCUGGCACCAGCACCUGGGGCUGCCAGGCAGCCACCCCUGCAGCUGUGUUGACAGGACCUGGCAGAGGGACUGACCCACCUUUGGAAAAUGACACCAGCAAUAUCAGGAUGUGUCAACUGGAUUUAUGCUAAGAAAAUAGGAUUUUUGGUGUUCCUCUGUUUCCCAAAGUUUGAGACACUUUCAGACACUCUGCUUUGCGGUUGUGGCCGAUGUUACCCAUGGGUGGGACUUUUGCUUUGCUCUAGAUUUUUGUAACACCCUGGGGAGUUUCAGGGGCCAAUGCUGAGAGAAGACCACAGGCUGACACAUCAUGAGGUAUGUUGGUAAAACAGUCCCGGCUGGCCGAGAGGCCACUGAGGGAACAGGCCCAGGGUUUGGUUUGUACUCUGUGAGUCUUGGCCUGGCAGGGUUUCCUGCAAAGCAGAGUCCUCUGAGUGGGACCCCAGGGGAAGCAGGUUGUUGCCUGGAGCUGAGGGGCAGCUCUGUAUUCAGGAGGGGUGCCUGCCUUCCCAUCUCCCCUGUGACCAGAUGUCACAGAAACAUUCUCUCUUUACUCCCUAGACCCUCUGGGCAGGUCCACUAAGAGCAUGUAUUCUAGAACAUGCAGGGCUUGAAGCUUCACAAGAUAUUCAGUGCACUCCUUACAGAUCCUGUCAAAUGUGGACCGGGUGGUGUCAUCGCACCACCAUCAUCCCCUUGUUACCCCUGAGAACACAGCUUCAGAGAGGGUAAGUAACCUAUCUCAGGCCACACAGCCAGGACAUGGAGUAGAUCCAUCCUAAGUCUUUCUACCACACACUCCUUUCUACAGUCAUGGGUUAAAUGAGGGUGCCAUGGAAUGGGUCAUCCAGUGUACACUGACAUCAGGAGGAGUUUCACAUUCAUACACUCAUGGCAAAUGGUUCUGUUGCUCCCUGGUCCAAAGAUGAUCUUAAUAGUAGGAAAAACUCAUUUGGCAGAAGCAAGACUCAGCACACAGGCUCUCUCCCUGAGUCUUCUGUGGCUGGCCUUGCCCUGCCCUCCCCUCCCCAACCCCACUGGCAGAAUAAAGUCGGGGGGCUGUGAGGACUGAGCCCCAGGCCUUGACAGGCACCCGCAGCCAGCCGAACUCCCACCUGCCCAGUUGGAGGGGUGCGAGAAGGCCUUGCUGCUCUGCACCACCUUCAUGGCCUCCCCCAGGGCGGCGCUGGCUUUCAGGCCGUUCAGCAGGGAUGAGUAGAAGGCAUGGAUGAACAUCUUAGAAGCAGCCACUGGCACAGGCCACAGAGACACGAGGACACACUGAGCGCCGGCAGCCAGGAAGGCCCUUGUCAGCGCGAUGACCCCGUCGGCUGUGACUUUGCUGUUGGACUCCUGGGAGGAGCCAAGCACCACCAGCUUCACAGGCAGCUGCAGGUCCAGGACGUCGGCGGCAGUGCCUAACUUACUGAGAAUCAUGCCUGCUGUGAUGAGCCCUUGGAAACCAUCAGGACUGGAUGGUAGGGGUCCUGAGAGGAUUGGGGGAGGAGGCCUUGAUAUGACAGAGUGGACAGAGGCCGUGGAACCCAGGACAGCCAGCCUGCUCCACAAUCCUCAUCCCCACAGACCUUCAUGUGUGGCUCCUAAAUAAGAGGAAACCCACUCCUGAUAAGUCAGGGGCUUUGAAAAGUGAUUUUGUUUAAAUGGUGCAAACAAGCAAGCCAAUCUUGGGGAGACAGGGCUAAACUUAAGUCCUUUAAGAAGCUCUACAUACUGACAAGAUUCUAGUUCCCUUCCACCUUAUAUGCUGCAAAGUAAAAAGUAUCACUGAAUGAGAAAAUCAGCAUAAAGAAGCCCAAUAAUGUCUGCCUGAGUUUCCCCUAUGAUGACUUUUGGUACUUUUUGGGAAACAUUAAGUAUGAAGUUAUUUCAAAAUAAUUUUUUGGUGCCUCUGCUUGGUGAUGCCUUAAACUCUGGGUAAGAGAAACACCAGGUGCCUGUCAGGAGAUGGCCUUUUCCAGGUUUCUGGUUAAGCUACAAACAGCUAACUGGCUGCUGUCAUCAAAAUAAAAGCUUUCUGAAGGUGGAGGCAUCUGAUACCCAGAGUGCUGCUAUCAGCCGGCACGGUGGGCCGCUGGGUGGCAGGAGCGUCGAGAAGGCCAGCUCGCUUCCUAUCUGGGAUUCAGAAUCAGCUAUGGAAACUUGAGAGACCUAGAGAAAAUAACUUCUUUCACUUUGAACUGAUUCUUUGCUUCAUAAGAAAAGUAUUAUCCAGCCACAAAAAUGGUCAAAAUUCAGAUCUACAAAAGCCUGUCAGGCAGAAACUGACCCCACUUAGGCCACGCCAAUGAGCAAGUCAUCAAAGCAGCCAAGACAGGUCCUGUGGGGGCCACCCAUGCACAGGGCCCAGCCUCGGGUCCUAACCCCGCCUAUGCUUUCCGCCACCAUAAAGAGGCCCAUCUGGGUAAGACCUGUCCCGCCUGCUGUGGGGUAUUAGGGCAGAUGGGGUCUGAGGGGUCUGAGGGCUCUGAGAGCAGCUGGCAGCUCAAGGACAUCCGGAGUUGGAGGAUGGAGCAAUGCAGGCCCUUGUGGUAAAGACAGUCCUGCAGCCGCGCAGGCAGGGAUGCUGCAAGUGGAGUGCCAGGCGGGUGCGGAGCCCUGUGGGACUGUGGAGGGGUCAGAGGGAAGCCAGGAUUUUGGGGUCUCUGAGAGUUUGGAGAAGGGGAAGAAGAUUAAAGCUUGUUUCAAAAGUUUCUAAUCAGGUGGGCAGGGCCAAGGGUGGCUGUGGGGUGAGACCCAUGACUCAGGGUGGCCCACUGUUACUCUAUUGAUUUUUGGGCGUUUUUUUCCAAAUUGAUUAUUCUUGCUGAAUGAGACCUGAGUCCUUGACUGUCCCCUUAAAGCCACCUGACUUGUUUUCAGUUCCACUGGCCUGUCGGGCUGUUUUCUACUCAACUCCACUCUUGCUUGUCUGCCCUCCCUGCCUGGGGCCCAGCCAGCAGUCAGCUCAAGGGCCAGAUGAAUUGGGUGGCUGUGCUCUGCCCACUGGGCAUCGUGUGGAUGGUGGGUGACCAGCCCCCUCAGGUGCUCAGCCAGGCCUCAAGCCUUGCUGUGUACCUCAGAGCAGCUCCGUACCCUGAUGUCACAGCAAAGAAACUUAGACAUGACACAAACUGUGGCUUCCCAAGGCAGCAAAGAAUGGCCAGGGGUCAUGAGGGCCGUGCCCCACUUUUGGACAGACCUACUCUAAAGUCACGCUACCUGCGUGCAAAUCAUAAAAUCAACACUUUUGAGGAGAUCACAGCUAUGCCUUCGUAACACAGCCCAGUCCGACCAGAUAGACGGUGCCUCGUGACCCGAAAACAAGCCCCCGGCCCCCCACCAUGUGUGUGAGCCUUACCUUGGACUGCACGCUGAGGGAGCGGAUGGAAGGGACAGCAAGGAGGCCGAAGCGCUCGUAGAGGUACUCAUUGGAGGAGCUUCCCUUCAGGAGGGCGAAAGGAAUGAGGUAGAGCUCCCCCUCCAGAACCAGGAUGAGCUGCCGGUGCCGGCCCACGGGGCCGCUGGAGUGCAUCAGGCCCUAUGGAGCAAGCACGGAGAGGCUGACAUGGGUGGCCCAGCAGGCAGGGGUUUCAGGCACCAGGACAACCCUGAGCCCUAGCCUGGAUGACACAAGCACGAGCAGAACAAGGCUAAGGGCGCGGGCAUCUUAAUGAGAGCAGCAGGCAACAAUCCUGGAAGCUGGGUCCACACAGACUGCGGUGAACAAAGAGGUGGCGUGGAAGCUGCUGCUGCAGCCCAGAGCCUGCCAAGAAGGUCCCAGGUCCACAGGGCCUGCGCAACACUGGGUGCCAGGGGUGGGGCUGGCCUGCCCCCCAACCCCAUCUGCUGAGGAGUGGCUGACAAGCGGACACCCACCAGGGUGCCACUCGCUUGUGCCUGGGGAAGCAAAUGUGCUCGCUUGACCCGUCUGAUGUGCUGCCGUGGGCACUUGACUGAGAGUGGCAGAGCACUAGGCUAACCCAAAGUGACACAUGCCUGGCGGGAUGUUCAGUCUCUG
rnacentral:lncRNA from 1 species